GGACUUGCAAGCAAAUUGAAUGAGAUGGCAGCAAGCCCGUUCCAGCGAGGGCGAGCGGCGUGAACCACGAUUUGCACGCGGCUGGACCGCUGGUUGGCAGGUCUCUGUUCCUGUGGCGGGACGGACGACUCUGCUGCUUCUCGUUGACAAAUCACAAGGAAAACAAGGGGGGAAGAAAAACAAGCCAGAAAAGUCUCCUCUUCCUUGCUCCGUUCAUCCGCCCCUCACCGUCGCCCAAUCUCACAUGGCUCGGCGUCUCCACGGCCAAUCCGACCUCAACGACGGCGCGCGCCUCCGUUUCUCCACCUCCAACUCCAGCUCCAGCUCUUCCUCCCGGUUCCUCCUCGCCGCCCCCUCCGACGACGCCUCCCUCUGUCGGAUCCACCGCUGACCGCGCGCCGCUACGCCUGCGCCUGAUCACCGGCUGGUUCUUGGCCUCUUCGCUUCCUGGACCGCCCAGACGUCUCCAUGGGCAAGAGUAAGAGGAACAAGGGCGGUCGAGGUGGUGGUGGUGCCGAUGACAAGCUUGACGGUGGUGGCGAUGCCGAUAGCGUGACCUCCAUGUCCAGUGGGCUGUCUGACCUUCAGUUCGCGCAGGCCACAGAGCAUAUUAGCUCGCAGGAAUUCGUUCUUGACAAGUACGUCGACGCUCUCUAUGAGAAGAGGGGAUCCACAAGAGAGGAAGCAUUGGGCUCUCUUACCGAUGCUUUUGAAAGUUUUGUGCUUCUUGGUUUAGUGGAAAACAAAUAUGUCACACUAUUGAGCCAGUUCAUCAAUUCAAUUAAAAGGGGAUCUGUAAAAGAGGUGUGUCUGGCUUGUCGCUGCAUUGGCUUACUGGCAAUUACACUAGGUGCUGGAAGUAGUUCGCACGAAAUAAUGGAUGAGUCACAUCCACAUCUUUUGAGAGUUCUCCAAACUUGGCCUGACGCACAAAAGAUGAUCUCUGCACUUGAUUGCUUAGCAGUUGUCACAUUUGUUGGUGCAACUGAUCUUGCUGAAACUCAGCUGUCUCUGAAAGCCAUCUGGGAUGUGAUCCAUCCAAAAUCAGGAUCAAAUGUCGGCGUAGUCAGAAAACCGAAGCCUCCUUUGUUAGCAGCUGCCGUAUCUGCAUGGGCAUUUCUUUUAACAACUAUUGGUUCAUCUAGAAGAAAUACUGAUUCUUGGAAAGAGCCAAUUACAUUUCUCUGUAGCCUUCUAGAAGCAGAGGACCGUGCUGUGCGGAUUGCUGCUGGUGAAGCAUUAGCUCUGUGUUUUGAGCUAAGAAUGUUUGAUGUUUCCUCUAGUGACGAAGCUGAUGUUGACAGUUACACUGGAGAGGCUGGUGGUUCUAAGCAUCAACUUUUCUUGAAUAUGCAAGCAUUGAAGGCCAAACUAUCUGGUCUAGUCUAUAGUCUAUCUAUGGAGGCGGGGGGCAGGGGUGCUGACAAGAAAAAUCUUAAUGAUCAGAGAGACCUGUUCCAACGAAUCUCAGAUUUUAUUAAGAGUGGUGAGUGCCCUGAAGAAUCACUUAGGAUUUCAGGCAAGAAUGGCAUUUUAAGAGUUACAUCAUGGCGUGAAUCAAUACAGUUGAACUAUAUGAGGCGGUUUCUUGGGCGGGGAUUCCUGAAGCAUUCACAGGACAACGAUUUGCUGCAUGAGGUCUUUGACAUCAAAAUUGAUCGUACUGAAAACAUGUCAGCCACCGAAAAGUCACCAGUAAGAUAGGCAUCAAGACAUGGGCAUAGCGACAGUUCUCUAAAGAAUCUGUUUGCAUGCGUUCAGAAAAUGUUCAGAUCUGGAGAAGAGAAAGGAAGAGCUCUGAAGUUGAAUAAAGAGCGUCGUCUAGCUCAGGAGAGGAAGCAGCAGAAUAUCUUGAACGAGCAAUAUGGAUAGAACCUACCCGGAAGACUGGAGUUUUGUACAGUGGAACUGUUACCAGAUGGUGAGUGCUGUGUGUGUAUGUGACGGUAUUGAUGCAUUUGAGGUGUAUUGCUCCGGUGGCGGUACUACAGCGACAUGUUUGAAAUUGCUCCGAAAUACUAUUGAGUUUUGUAGAAAGUGCCAUGUUCCCUGCACUCCCUAGUGUUUCCUCUGCAUGCGCAAAGGAGAUCUUGAGUUCAGUUAAUCACAAUUGUACAGUUCCAUAGGGUAGAGAUAUGAGGUGAUUGUGAAUAACACAGAGGUCGUCUAGCCUAAGGGCAAUAAUUGGCGAACUCUUCCUCUAGCCGCAAUAAUUGGUCUGCAAGAGAUUUCGAAA